UGGCGAACGGGUGAGUAACGCGUGAGGAACCUGCCUCAAAGAGGGGGGAAACAGUUGGAAACGACUGCUAAUACCGCAUAAGCCCACGGGUCGGCAUCGACCAGAGGGAAAAGGAGCAAUCCGCUUUGAGAUGGCCUCGCGUCCGAUUAGCUAGUUGGUGAGGUAACGGCCCACCAAGGCAACGAUCGGUAGCCGGACUGAGAGGUUGAACGGCCACAUUGGGACUGAGACACGGCCCAG
rnacentral:rRNA from 1 species